GAAAUUCUGGCUAAUACCGCAUACGAUAGUAAUAUGAAAGGGUGCUUCGGCACUCGCUGAAAGAUGGGCCUGCGGGACAUUAGCUUGAUGGUGGGGUAAUGGCCUACCAUGGCUGCGAUGUCUAACUGGUCUGAGAGGAUGAUCAGUCACACUGGAACUGAGACACGGUCCAGACUCCUACGGGAGGCAGCAGUGGGGAAUAUUGCGCAAUGGGGGAAACCCUGACGCAGCAACGCCGCGUGAGUGAGGAAGGCCUUCGGGUUGUAAAGCUCUGUCAGAUGGGAAGAACACUUAGGGGUCCAAUAGGCCCUUGAACUGACGGUACCAUCAAAGGAAGCACCGGCUAACUUCGUGCCAGCAGCCGCGGUAAUACGAAGGGUGCAAGCGUUGUUCGGAUUUACUGGGCGUAAAGCGCGCGCAGGCGGAUAGUUAAGUCAGAUGUGAAAUCUCGGGGCUCAACCCCGAAACUGCGUCUGAAACUGAUUAUCUAGAGUAUCGGAGGGGGGAAGUGGAAUUUCGCAUGUAGGGGUAAAAUCCGUAGAGAUGCGAAGGAAC
rnacentral:rRNA from 1 species